CCAAAAAGCUAGGUAACUACUUAUGCUGCUGUGACUAAAUUACAAUCAGUGCUUGAGCUAGUUUCCCAGCUCUGGGGCUAUGGUCCCAGCAUGUACAGACAUUCAGCUAGAUCAAGCACGGAGUAGCCCGACCUACAUAGUAUGCCUCCUUAAGUGAACUUAGAAUGGGCUGGCCAUUUUUUGCCCAAUCUAAAUCCCUGAAUGUUGUCAGGACCCAGGGCAGCCGGCCAGCAGCUCUCCCUGACUCCCACCCAGGCAGUUAAGGGUCCGUCAGGCGGGUACUUGUGACGCAUGGAGUGGAAUUAAUUAGGCGGACGCUUAUCGGUUGCAAAGCAAGAUUAUUUACUCACGCCGUCAAGUGGUGAAAGACGGAGGUUAGAAAUACUUGGUUAGUUACAGCUUAGGGUUCGUAGGUCGGUCUGCAUAAGUUCGGUGGUCGGGCAGAGAAAAGGUCGGGCCAGCAGGUCGUUGAUUUACGUCUGAGAUUGGGUCGAGACGCGGGGAACUGACAAGUGAUCAAAUUGUCAGUUACUCUGACACAUACGUUCAGAGGUCUCCAGGUUACGUGUGCGGAGGUCUCCCCUUCUUCAUGGAAGUGAAGACGGGUUUUAUUUGUAUAAUAGCCAAUUGCUUUUUGCCACGUCAUAAAUUUAAUUAGAAUCGCCAAUUAUCUAGCGGUCUUCGCUAGGGUAUUAUCACAGGGUUACUCCUUGUUUUCUUUGACCAAUUAUAAUGAUUUAUGUACAGCACAGAAGGCUAAGUUCUAUUUCAUGUUGGUGUCACAGUUAUAAAUUUCUUUUUGACAUGCGCAGCAAAGAAACUGUUACUAUCAUUUGUUAACCCUUAGUUAACCUAGUGCAGAAAAAAACUGUUUUGAAUGGUUUUACUUGCUUGUGACAUGGGCACUACUUAAUUGGGUUGUGACAAAUGUAUGCACAGUUCAGCACUUAAAUGGACCUAACUCUAUCCCUGAAUUGGAGCAAGGACAGAACCUAAUCUUCAGCUCACUCUUCCUCUCUUUCCUGCUUAGGCAAAAGCAGCCUAUUCAGCUGUGAGGGGGUCAAAACUUUAGUCAUUCUGCUUUCUCCAAAACAAGCUGCAUUUCUUAUUUGGGGUUGUGUGGCAUACGAAAAAGUAUAGUACCUAUUUUACUUCUCCCCCUUUUUUUGCAUGCACGAGGCAUAUUUUUUAAAAAGUAGAUUUGCUCUUAAGAGAUACCAAGAGGUGUUGACUAGAGCCAGUUAGAACAUUUCCACAGCAACAUAUCAAGUUUCUAAAAACUAACAUUGAGGCAGGAGGUGGAGGGAAAAGAGAGAGACUCCAUAGCUCAGUUGAUAGACUGAAAUAUGGGAAAUAUACCUGCCUAAUUUGGAGUUGGCAGGAAUGAAAGACACGUUUUCAAUUCAGAGAGAGAAUGGACUUAAACCUCAGUCCCUCACGCUCUAGGCUGAUACCUUAACAAUUCGGAAACAUUAGCGCACACACACACACAAAUUCAAUUUCUGUGAAAACCUUCCAAAGAUUUGGUUUUGUUCUCAUUUGGCACACAAAAUGUUUGAAAUUUCAUAACUUGCUGAAAAAUGGAAUUGCUAUCUUCUAGUCAAGGUCCAAGUGAGACACAAAUAUUAGGCUGUCGAACUACAUCUGCGGAGAAUUAGUAGAAUCUCCCUUGCUUUGAACAUUUGGAAUUAGACUAUAAAAAAUAUUAGAAUGUUAGAUAAUGUUUGGUAUGUGCAAGGAAAGGUAUAUUGACAAGAAGAUGAGCAAGAUGAUCCGGGUGAGCUUUUCUAUCUUUUAAUAUAAUUAUCUGAAAACAAAGACGAGAGAGAAUCAUGGACUAAAUUAUACUGCAGCAUGGUAUCAAGUAAAAUGGCUGUUUAACUAAGGAAUACAGCAAAAGUUCAGUGUAUGGGAUCAUUGGCACGCUCACUUUAUAGGAGUAUUAGCAAGAAGCAGCUUUAUUUCAUUUACCAUGGGAUUCCUUUUGUUCUGAUUUACUUCUUAUGAAGUGUCUUGUUUGGAAAUGGAGUUGUAGAUGGCAUAAGUCACAAUGUAAUUUAGACCCAAAUAUUUGGGUGUCAUUUGAAAACAGCAAUCUAUCAAACAUUAGAGAACAGUAGACCCAACAGACAACUAUCUAUCAAACAUUAUUGAGUAUGAACCAUAUUUUAUCUUAAAAUUAAUUCGUUUUUACUGAUUCUCUCAUAACUUAUAAUUGCAGAUUGCUGAAAUAACUUAAAAAUGGACUUUUUAACAACACAAAAAUUUCUAUUGGAAAUACUGUAUGCGUUUUCAAUUUUUUUUUUUUGCAAAAAUGUAAAAAAAACUCAGAUGAAACUGAGUCUUUAUGCUUUGGUGUUGGGCAAAUUAUAUUUAAAAAAAAAAUCAGUUCACAAUAUUAAAAAAACUACAGAAAAAAAUUGUUUCUUUACAAAAUUUCCUGGGCAGUUCUACUUACAAUGUGUACAGAAAUAGGACAACUAAUGUGGUAAUGGCAGUUCAGAUGAAUUUGAUGUCACUUUCAAAAUCAAAGAUCCCACAACCUCAUCAUCUCCCAUAAGAGUUCAAAAAAUUUAGAAAUGCUUUUGGUGCUGGUCAAGAGAAGGGGGAAAAUAACAAUAUACAAAUGAGGAUAACAGAACGGGAGAUUCAGUAAGUCUUUGAAAGUUAUUUCCUUUAUGAAUGAGGAGAUCCCAUUAUUUGAAAGGUUACCCUAACCAUGUACAGUGUCCAGCGGAAACACAGCAGCACCACAGCAAGAGCUGCAAGGUCAUUAAGGGAAAACUGACCACAAAAAUAUAUUAAAAGCUAGGCUUAACCCCCUAGGUUAUUUUCAAUUUUUUGAUCAGAAGGAAAGGAAAGGAAAGGAAACUCACACCUUUUCCACAAUACAUUUAUACUCCUAUUGUAAAUACUACUAUCAUUUUCAGUAAGAUGACAGUGACUGUGAAGGAGGGGAGUCAUUAUGUAACUAGUAAUGAAUUGCAAUUUCAGGAAAUUGGCUACCUCCUCCCUAGAUUCUAUUAAAAUAUACCAUUUACAAGCUGCAAAAUAGUGAACCAGUAGCAAUCAAAUAGUAUGGACCAGAUUCAGACCUAAUAUAAUCAGCUGUAUUAUUUAAAAGUCUGGACGUAUAACACAAUAUAAAAUGCAAUUCAGUCUGCAUGUUAGUUGUAUGUCAAGAGUAAGUGAAUCAAAAAACAAGCAAGAUAUUAAAGAGUAAUCUGGAGACCAUUUAUAUAUUGAGGGGACAUAAUAUAAUGGGUGGGUUGAACAAAAAACUGGAGAAUGUAAACCCCAAAUAGUUUGUUUGCUUUUCUCCCUGUCACGAUAUUUGCACUGAAGCCUAUGUACUAAUGUCCAAAUAAAUGGAAGCUGCACUACUUUGUCAUUUAUACUUUUCUAAACAGAUGGCAUAUGUGUGAUGGGUCACAUGAUCUUGGCAUGCUAAAAUUCAUCUGGAGUGAAGAGAUGAGUGUGGCUGUGUGCUGUGAACUGCUAUUAAUGACCUUUGUCAUAGCAGUAUGGUAGUACAUGAUAGGGGAGCUUGUUUGUCUACAUACACUAGUGUAAUUUUACCCCUGAUUUUUCCUGGGAUAAAUCCACAACAAAUUAAAGUAAAUGACACUGAUAUAAGCAUGCUAUCACUCCAUGUCUUCUUUUUUUUUAAUGUCACCAGAGAAUUUGCCACUGCUCCCUAAAGUGCUGGGUUAAUCUGAAAACUGUGUGUAAAUCUCUCAGUAGCUCCUUGUCCACCUAAACUCCAUUUGUAAAUCUGCUAUGUUUUUCUGUUUGGUUUGGUUUUCAUUUCUUUCUAAGAUGCAGUGCUGCUAUGGAAGCAGAACUUAGUUAAAAUUCAGAAUUUUAAUUUUUCAGGAAAUUCUGAUAUUGCAGAAACAUUUUUAUUCUUACUUGGAAUAAAAGCUAGAUUUAUUUUUUUUUACAUUUCUACAGAAAGGAAUGUUGGAUGAUAAGCUGGCUGCCCUGACUCUCUGAGCUGCCCAUCACCUGAUGUUAGGGGACUUCUGCAGGCUGUCCCGGAAACCUAUGGAUCCCCUGGAUGUUUUCAGAGAGUGGGGGCAGUAUGGGGAGUGACUCAAAUUAGGCGAAUUAUAGGGAGUCCUCUAUUAUGGAAUUUAUUUAUUUACUUAUAGGGAGCCCAACUCAUGCUGGGAUUCUCAGGACUUCCAGGACUUAAUUCCAUUCUGCUUAGUAAUUAGCUGAGAUGACUUCAGAGUCUUAGUUCCCAUUUUAGUUUCCAGGCUCUCAGGUCAAGGCCUAAGAGUUCCAGUUUAAGUUUCAUAGAUUCAUAGAUGCUACGGUCAGAAGGGACCUCAAAAGAUCAUAGAGUCCAACCCCGUUCCUACGCAGGAAAGAGUACUGGGGUCAGAUGACCACAACCAGAUGCCUGUCCAGCCUUCUCUUAAAGACCCCCAAGGUAGGAGAGAGCACCACCUCCCUUGGAAGCCCAUUCCAAAUUUUGGCCACCCUUCCGUGAAGUUUUUCCUGAUGUCUAACCUAAAUCUGCUCUCUGUCAGUUUGUGACCAUUGUUCCUUGCUACCCGAAGAGGCACCCUGGUGAAAACAGCAUCUCCAAUACCUUGCUGCGUCCCCCUAAGAAUUUGUAGGCGGCCACAACAUCACCUCUCAGCCUUCUCUUGCAGAGGCUGAAGAGGUCCAGGUCCCUUACUCUCUCCUCAUAGGGCUUGGUCUGUACACCCUUAACCAUACGAGUGGCUCUCCUUCGGACCCUUUCGAGGUUAUCCACAUCCUUCUUAAAGUAUGGUGCCCAAAACUGGAUGCAGUACUCCAACUGUGGUCUGACCAAUGCCGCAUAGAGGGGAAGUAUCACCUUCUUGGUUCUAUUUGUCAUGCAUCUGCAUGAUAAAGUGAGGUUAGCUUUGCUGAUGAUUUCGUCACACUGAUGACUCACAUUCAUCUUGGAGUCCACUAUGACUCCGAGAUCCUUUUUCAUUUCUGUGCUUCUGAGAGGGUUAUUUCCCAGCCAGCAGGUGUGAGGGAUAUUUUUACACCCUAGGUACAGCACUCUGCAUUUGUCCUUGUUGAACUGCAUCCCAUUGUGUUCUGCCCACUUUUCCAACCCGUGCAGGUAAACCUGUAAUGGUUCCCUACCCUCCGGUGUGUUCAUUUCACCCACAAGUUUGCGGAUGAUACUAAAUUGGACAGAAUACACUUCAUGCCCACAUCCAAGUCACUGAUGAAGACAUUGAAGAGUACAGGUCCGAGGACUGAGCCCUGCAGGACCCCACUGAUUACAUCCUUCCAGGUUGAUACCAACCCGUCCACUACCACUCUCUGGGUGCAACCCCCAAACCAAUUUGCCGCCCACCAGACUGUGUAAUCAUCUAAGUCACAGUCUCUUAAUUUAUUUAUGAGAAUGGAAUGAGAUACCUUAUCAAAGCCCUUGCUAAAAUCCAAGUAAAUGACAUCCACUUCUACUCCUGCGUCUAAGUGUUUUGUGACACGGUCAUAAAAAGAAACCAGAUUAGUCAGGCAUGCUUUACCUGCUAUGAAUCCAUGCUGGUUGCCCUGCUGCAUUAUUUUUCCCGCUGGACUCACACAAAUAUGAUCUUUAAUAAUCUUUUCAAAGACUUUUCCAAGGAUGGAGGUGAGACUAACUGGCCUAUAAUUACUCAGAUCCUCCUUCCUCCUCUUCUUGAAAAUAGGGACCACACUGGCCCUUUUCCAGUCCUCUGGGACCUGACCUAAGCACUACAAGCACUCAAACAGCCGUGCCAGUGGUUCUACUACGAAAAGUUGAAGCAGGCUGUGCAGCAUAGACGCCAACCUUAAUGCCAUGUACAUGGCAGCACUUCCUAGGACCCGGGGCCGUGAGAGCACUAAAAUUCUUCCACUUAUGAGAGUUGAUUGCAUUGGGAAAGGGUACCAUCAAGUCUACAAACGGUGCUUUCAAGAACAAAACAGGCCAUCCACCCUGAGCAACAGGAUUAAGAACAUGCUUACAAACCUAAAAAGCUGUGAUAGGUCAGUCUUUGGAAACAUGGCCUGGUAGGCCUGAUUCUCUGGUCACUCAUGUUAGAGUGUCUCUGAUAGAAGACCUGAGAGUUUUGCCACUGUUAUACCAACUGAAGAAAGAGAAUCAGGCCCUAUGGAUAAGUACAGACAUUUGGGAAGAUUAAAAAGGGUUUAAAAAGACCACCUGACUUAAAACUAGCUAGACCCUCCAUACCCAUAAAAGGCGACCAGAGAACCAGAGAAUAGGGACUGCCAACAGGGGAGCAGUUUGUAGGCAGUUUGCAGGCCAGUUCGUGGGCAGGAGUACACAGGAGCUUAUGACAGAGACUUCAGGUAAGUGAAUGAGGAGGGGGGCUACUAUGGGAGUGGUGACAUGAAGUGCAGCCAGGACCCCUGCCCUGCUGCUGCCUCCAGCCUGGAGCUUCUGUGAGGCCUCCACCCAGACAGGCCCCUUGGAUGGGUCAGCACUGCCCUGGCCCCUUGUCUGCGGGGGUUGUCUGGUGGGACCUCUGAGGCCUGGAGGUAGCGUGGGGGCCGGGGGUUCCCUUGCUUGCCCCACAUGUGCUCAGAUUGAGGCCCUGGAGGGGCAGGUGAGGGAACACCAAGCAGAGGUGAGCAGGCUUCAGGGGAAAGGAUGAGAUUGAUGGAUAUUUUCAUUCUCUGCAGGACCAGACACCUGGUGCAGAGACAUCAGGGGAGAGUCCCAGGACAGCUAAAUGGAGGACGGUCACCUCCAGAGCUAGACAGCAUGUGGCUGUGACUGCUUCCCUAGUGCAACUAACGAACAGAUACAAAGUCCUGGCAGCACUGGAGGAUGAUGCAGCAGAGGAAGCUGCAAGGGAAGACACAUCUGCAACAAACACCGGGCAGGCUGAACGACAACCUAGCAGCCAGAAGAGAUGCCGUGUCAUCGUGGUUGGCUGAUCUCUUACGAAGAGCUAAACUAGGUUCAUCGGGGGAUGGGGAAGCAGAGGAUAAGGAGAACCUAGGAUCAGUGAGCCACGAGCAAUGCACUGGAUCAGUCCAAGUAAGCACUAAGGAAACAACUGUGACCAUCUGAAACCUGAGAUCCUGCUUCUGCCUUUGUUUCAAGGUAAUUUGCAUCAUCACAGAACCUCACAGGAGGUGAGAGGCUUCAUACCAGCUAUGAACCGACUGCCCAGAGGAGUCUUUCAUCUAUUGACUCUUUUGUGAAAUUCUGUGAAAUAUGAACUUACAUUUCUACCCACGAGAACUUUUACAAUCUUUUCUCCAAUGCCUAAUGAAGGGUGUUUGUGCUGGAAAGCUUGCAAUUAAAGAAUUUUUUUGCAAAAAUCUUGUUGGUCUAAUAAAAGAUCUCGUCUCUACUACAAGUCCUGAUUGCCUUGAAAAGUUAUUAGCGCUUAGGGAAACAGCUCGUUGGUGAGGUCCUGGGUAGAUUAUUACUGACAAAAUACAGAACAGUGACUGAAAGCAAAGGGCAAACUUUCUCAGUCCCAUUAAUUUCAGGGGGUAAAGAUCUCCAAAGAUUUCAUAAGGGAAAGAACCCAUCUCCUUUUUCUUAUCCUCUUCAUUUCCAGCAGGGUUACUGAGAGCAAGAUUUGGCUUUAGGUCUGAUGGUCUAGUAUAUUGUCCCUCCCUUCAGUUACCAGUUUACUCAGUCUUCAUAUUCUUUUUCUUAUAGAGGGCUCGUCUUCACUGCAUAUGUUAGUUCAAGCUGUAACUUAAGUAUUAUUGACUCCUUCCUAUGCACAAAAAUAUUUAGCUUGAGUUAAAUGCUACUCUAGACACAAGCUAGCUCUCCUGUAAGAGAGGUUGGGCUUGUAGCUGGAGUGAUGCUGAAUCUCCAGCUAGUGAUAGAGUGGAAAUGCAGUGACUGGAGUUGCAAAACCUCAUCAACUACUUUCCAAUUACCUUGCCUUGCACCAGUAUUGUAUCUCAAUACUUCUCUUUCACUCUGCUCUCACUCCAGUGUGGCAGUGAAGACAAGCCCUUGCAAAUAUAUCAUGGCUGGGUUAACUGUAUUUGCAUAUAUGG